CUGGCAUGGUGUUGAGAGCAGCGAUGGCAGCCACUGCGGGGAAAGCGCACACCAGAACAAACACUCUCCAGCUGUGGAACUGAUAGGCCGAGCCCAUCUGGAAGCUCCAGCCUGGUGGAAGAGAGCAGGCGACAAAGCAGGAAGGAGCUGUAUCCUUGGACAAAAGAGGAGAAGAAAGCAAAGACGCUGUUGAUGGAGAGAGAAAUGAGCAGAGUCUGCCUGCGUCCGAUCCGAUCAGCCAGACCGCCCCACACAAAAGCACCCACCAUCAUGCCCAGGGAAUUCACUGUGGCUGAGGCUGAGUGCUCAGUGAACUGUAUCAGCUCCUCCAUCUCUCCCUCUGCUCCACCUCUGUACCGCAGCAGAGGUGCUGAGCUCGGGCAUGGAGAAAACAAACAGAACAAACCAUCCAAAGCACCGUGUCACCUCACCGUCACUCCUCCCUGCACCGCGCUUCGGGCUGAGGACGAGAGUAAAGACAAAAUCAUUCAUUAUUAAUGCGCGCUAAUGACUCCUAGAGCUCUCAUACACACUAUGUGUCAUGCUGUUACCGGAAAAUAAUCAACAGCGGUAUUCCUUUUCUCAUACUACAGCAGUUAGCCAAUGAUGAAAGUUUUAAUAUUAAUGAAAGAUCCACACGCUGUAGUUCUUAUCUGUUUAUAGUUACAUUUAACUACAACACGUUCCUCCUGUCACUUACGUUAGAGCAGCUAUAAACAGUGUAAACGGUUGUUCCUUCAGCAGCCUUCUCUUUCUUUCUCUCCUGAAGAUAAUAAUACCGAA